rnacentral:rRNA from 1 species
ACGGGUGAGUAACACGUGAGUAACCUGCCCCUGACUCUGGGAUAAGCGUUGGAAACGACGUCUAAUACUGGAUAGGACUGCCGGCCGCAUGGUCUGGUGGUGGAAAGAUUUUUUGGUUGGGGAUGGACUCGCGGCCUAUCAGCUUGUUGGUGAGGUAAUGGCUCACCAAGGCGACGACGGGUAGCCGGCCUGAGAGGGUGACCGGCCACACUGGGACUGAGACACGGCCCAGACUCCUACGGGAGGCAGCAGUGGGGAAUAUUGCACAAUGGGCGAAAGCCUGAUGCAGCAACGCCGCGUGAGGGAUGACGGCCUUCGGGUUGUAAACCUCUUUUAGUAGGGAAGAAGCGAAAGUGACGGUACCUGCAGAAAAAGCACCGGCUAACUACGUGCCAGCAGCCGCGGUAAUACGUAGGGUGCAAGCGUUGUCCGGAAUUAUUGGGCGUAAAGAGCUCGUAGGCGGUUUGUCGCGUCUGCUGUGAAAUCCCGAGGCUCAACCUCGGGCUUGCAGUGGGUACGGGCAGACUAGAGUGCGGUAGGGGAGAUUGGAAUUCCUGGUGUAGCGGUGGAAUGCGCAGAUAUCAGGAGGAACACCGAUGGCGAAGGCAGAUCUCUGGGCCGUAACUGACGCUGAGGAGCGAAAGCGUGGGGAGCGAACAGGAUUAGAUACCCUGGUAGU